UGCACCCAAUCGCAUGCUUUCUGCUUACUUAGCUUUCCCAGUGCGCCUUUGAUAUACGCUAACAUUUGCUUUGAGCAUCGCAGUUGCUACACGAUCAUCAAAGAAAUACUAAACUGUAGUUUUCCAGUUGGUGUUCGAGGAGCUAUCUCUCAUCAUGAAGGUUCUCGCAUUUACCCUGAUGUUUUUGGCGCUUAUCUCCUUCGUGAUGUCCUUCUGUCAGAAUGAGGCAGACAGGGCCGUGGAAUGUGUCCAGACCCUGGAGGAGAGAUGGAAAUUCGACAACACAGCGUCCAAGGAAGAGGCUAAGGGUGUCGUCUGCUGCAUCGCAGACGACAUCGAGGGAUGUGUGAGAAGACACUUGACGGGAAGAUGUUCUGCUCUUGCGUCUCUGGUGUCCGAAAGGGCUAGAGGAGCUUACUUCGCGGUUUUAACGGGCAACCGAGAGGCUGACUUCUGCACCGCACGCGCGGGUCCCACAUGCAGUGCCCUGAAGGCUCGUUUUGGAAACUGAGCGACCAGGGCUACUUGCUUUGUAACUGUUCCGUAUAUUAAACGGGCCUUUGCUAAACCA